CAUUCUGGCAGCUAGAAAUCUACCAACACCACAAGUCAGGUCUGACUAGUUUGCUUUUUUCAGAUAAUCAGUCAUUCGGCAUUUGGACACUAUCCCUGACAAAAGGACACUCACAGUCCAGAAAUUGAAAUCAGGGUCAUAAUCUUUACAGACUAAUCUUGACUGUCAGAUUGACUAGAUUUGGAGCCAUGUAGAGGACACAGCUCUGGGUGCAUUUGGGAAGGUAUAUAACUGAGGAGAGAAGCUCCUUGGAUACGGAUAACAGAGUACCAUGACUUUGAGUCUCAGAGAGAGCAAAAGGGGAACGGGAGAAAGAGCUGAACUCCCACCUUGGCUAUUUUCUGAUAUGAAAUGUAGCUUAAUUGACUUCCUCAUACUCCUGUUACUGUGUAUAUGUCACUCGAAGCUGGUUUGCACCCUAUCCUGACUCAAAGUGAACCCUCUGGUAAGUUGUAAGGAAAACAACUGACUCCAUUUAAGUCACACAUAGUCUGGAAGAUGAGUUUUAUAUAUUUGUAGCUUUUCAUAGAGAUAGCAAAAAUUUCCUCUUGAACCAGAAUCAACCUAACAACGUCCCAAAACAUAAAAGUAAAAUUGUAUCCUUUUUGCUUCACACAAUACAGCAUGUGGAUUAAUGAACUUGAAGAUGUGAACUUUAGUAAGACCUGCAGAUCAAAGGUUUGUAAACUUUAGUAAGAGCUACAGAUCAGUUUGUGUUUCUUCCAAUGACACUGCGAGGCUAGAUAGUAACGGAAAGUAAAACCUUUAGGAAUUAGGUGUCAGGUACAAAGACAUGACUAAUUCAUGACUGGGCAGUACCCUUAUUAAAGAGACCCAGAAAGAACCCUACCACCACUGCCCUUCUAGUGAGAAUAGUGAACUCUUAAACAGGUGAUAGAAUCCUGAAAGACCUAGGACCUGCUAGUCUUACCACUUUGGACUCUCCAGAAUGAGAAAACCCUGUUGUUCAUAUAUAAUCCAGAUGACGGGAGUAGCAGCCUGUACUGAUGUACAGUAAAAAUAACUAGAAUCAGACACUGUAUUUAGCAACAAUAAAGGCUGUAGAGUUCAAUACGGAAGAAAUUAUCUUUACUAGUGAAUGUUCGCAACGUCUUAGGAAGAUGCUCCAUUGGGUAGGUUUAAAUUCUGGAAAUAUUUCUCCAAGAGAAAGAGUAGGAUGGGAAUCCCAGGAAAAGAGCACACCAUGAGAGAACAUUGGUAGCCAGGACUGUUUUUCAAACACCCAAUGGUUUCAUGUCAAACUAUCCUGAAGGAAAAAAUCACUUCUCAAGGAGGUUAGAAACCAAAAAUGAGGGCUGGGAAUUUCAAGCUAAAGCUGUCAUUUGGAAGCUCAUUGACAUUUUAAAAUGUAAUUUUCUGCCCAAAUCAGAAGAUGUGGAGUAUGAACUUGGAGACCCACUAAACAGCCACAGAGCAGAAUGUAUACUGUUAUCUGCAUCAUUGUACCUUCCUGACUUGUUACAGCACCCAGGAUAUUGUGACUUUUUUUUUGUUUGAAAUUGGUAGCUAAAUUUAUGUCAUUGGUUUUUUUCUUUUUUUUUAGUUAAAAAUAGAAUACUUUAUUGAGAAAUGGUUACAAAUAGAAUGAAGAACUGUUACUGUUUGACUGAAAACAACAACAAAAAAGUUAAUGAGUAGAAUUUUAAAGGUAUAGGUAAGGCAAGUUCCAAGUCAAGAUAAAACACUUCUUUCUAAAAAUCCUAGUACUUCAGAUCAGAGCAGCCUGCUGCUCCAUUAAAUAGAGAGUGCCUACCUCUAGAUACUUCUGGGUCUGGUAUGCUACUGUUGAGGAUACAAAGGAUCCAACACAUGCACUGAAGCAGAAGGACUAAGUAGCACCUAAGGCUACUUCCCACCUAGACAUGUGUCCUGUAGCAUCUUGUUCACCAUCUUCUACAAUAUGGGGCUUGGCCUUUCACUUCCCAUGGCAUUUCUUCUCAUACUUAUCCAUUCCGAUUUCAGCUUUCCUGAGAAUGAACCUAAAAUCUGUAAGUUCUCUACAUGAGCCUCACGCUCCAGGUAAAUAUACUGAAGUGUAUUGUACAUAUAUGACAAAACUAACCUCUUAUGACAUUGAAGCAUGGACCAAAGAUCCUGCAAUGGUUAAUAUUAGCUACCAGUCUGAUCAGUCUAGAAUCAUCUAAGAUACAUGCUUCUGUGGAUGUCUGUGAGGAAUUGUCAAGAUUUGGUGAAUUGAAGUGGGAAGCAAUAACCUAUAUAUAUGAUGUAAAAACCUGCUACAAGUUGCUGCCACUGUGCCCUCCUCACUAUGAUGGACCUGUGAAAGGAACUUCAGAGAUGGAAAUGGAGAGGAGCCUGAGGAAAAGAAGAUUCACAACAGACCCAAGGUAUGAUCCAGCUCAAGGGGAGGCCUCAAGGCCUGACACUCGUACUGUGGGCAUGGGACACACACAAAAAGGGGCCUAUCAUGACUGCCUUCUAAAAGACCCAAUAAGCAGCUGAAAGAGUCAGAUGCAGAUAUUUGCACCCAUCCAAUGGACAGAAGCUGCUGACCCCUGUGGUUGAAUUAGGGAAAAGCUGGAAAAAGGUGAGGAGGAGGGCGAUUCUGUAGGAAGACCAGUAGUCUCAAUUAAUCUGGACAUCCAAGAUCUCACAGACACUGGAACACUAACUGGGCACCAUAUACCAGCUGAGAUGAGGCCCCCAACACAUACACAGCAGAGGACUCCCGGGUCUGGGUUCAGUCAGAGAAGAUUCACUUAACCCUCAAGAGACUGGAGGCCCAGGGAGUUUAGUGGGUAGGGGUAGAAGGGUGAGUGGAGACAUCCUUGUGGAGGAGGUGGUGGGGAGGAAGUAUGGGAUGUGGAACAGUUGGAAGGUAACCAGGAGAGGAAUAAAAUCUGGAGUGUAAAAAAUAUUAAAUAAAAAAGAAAUAGAAAUAGCCAACAAAUAUUUUAAAAAGAUGAGGUCUUUGGGGCAGCUCCUAAUUUGAUACAAUUGGUGUCCUUAUAACAAAGAUAUGGAGAUACUUAUGUACAGAAAUGUGUCUGUCGUAGCUCAGCCUAACCUGAAACUCUUGACCUCCUUCUGUCUACCUCCUGAGUGCUAGAAUUAGCUAGCACAUCAGCCUCUUUGCAUGAUGAUGAUGAUGAUGACGAUGACGAUGAUGAUGAUGAUGACGAUGAUGAUGAUGACGACGAUGACGACGUCGACGACAACGAUGAUGAUGAUGAUCAUGGUGAUGAUGAUAUUGUUGUCUUGAAACACACAGUGGCUCUAUGUCCUAAAUUAGGCUUAAACUCCCUGUUUAGCAGAGCUGAUACUGAAUUCUCAAACCUCCUGCCUAUACCUUCCUGAAGUGGAAAUUUCUGGUUUCUUUGAAAACCCAGUUGUGAGACAUUUUUCUGGAAACUAUCUUAUGAGAGGAUGUUUUUGUUAAAGUAGACAUGUGGGAGGAUGUUUUGCUAAGAGUAGACACAUGGUGUUUUUGUGAAAGCAACCUGGAAAAAGGGCAUGCGAUGUUUUGCUAGAGCAGAUGCUUGAGAGAACAUGCGAUGUUUGGAAAGUAUAUAAAUAAAGCCCAAUGGACAGUGCACAACACUAGAUGGUAUUGGUACACCUUGCCUUUCUUUACUGGUCAUCGUUGGGCUUUGCUGAUGAGGUGGUCUUUGUUGAUCAUGCUGAAUGAUACUGUUG
ensembl:lncRNA